rnacentral:rRNA from 1 species
UGGGGAAUAUUGGACAAUGGGCGCAAGCCUGAUCCAGCCAUGCCGCGUGUGUGAAGAAGGCCUUUUGGUUGUAAAGCACUUUAAGCGAGGAGGAGGCUACUUGGAUUAAUACUCUAGGAUAGUGGACGUUACUCGCAGAAUAAGCACCGGCUAACUCUGUGCCAGCAGCCGCGGUAAUACAGAGGGUGCGAGCGUUAAUCGGAUUUACUGGGCGUAAAGCGUGCGUAGGCGGCUUCUUAAGUCGGAUGUGAAAUCCCUGAGCUUAACUUAGGAACUGCAUUCGAUACUGGGAAGCUAGAGUAUGGGAGAGGAUGGUAGAAUUCCAGGUGUAGCGGUGAAAUGCGUAGAGAUCUGGAGGAAUACCGAUGGCGAAGGCAGCCAUCUGGCCUAAUACUGACGCUGAGGUACGAAAGCAUGGGGAGCAAACAGG